rnacentral:rRNA from 1 species
UACGGAGGGUGCGAGCGUUGCUCGGAAUCACUGGGCGUAAAGGGUGCGUAGGCGGGUCUUUAAGUCAGGGGUGAAAUCCUGGAGCUCAACUCCAGAACUGCCUUUGAUACUGAGGAUCUUGAGUACGGGAGAGGUGAGUGGAACUGCGAGUGUAGAGGUGAAAUUCGUAGAUAUUCGCAAGAACACCAGUGGCGAAGGCGGCUCACUGGCCCGUUACUGACGCUGAGGCACGAAAGCGUGGGGAGCAAACAGG